rnacentral:rRNA from 1 species
UACGAAGGGUGCUAGCGUUGUUCGGAAUCACUGGGCGUAAAGCGCGUGUAGGCGGUCCGUUAAGUCUGAUGUGAAAGCCCGGGGCUCACCCCCGGAAGUGCAUUGGAAACUGACGAACUCGAGUCCCGGAGAGGAGGGUGGAAUUCCUGGUGUAGCGGUGAAAUGCGUAGAUAUCAGGAGGAACACCGGUGGCGAAGGCGGCCCUCUGGACGGUGACUGACGCUGAGACGCGAAAGCGUGGGGAGCAAACAGG